CAACCGAUGCUUGUGUCUUUCCUAUAAUUAUCUUUUUUUAAGAAAGGCUUUUGAUUUUUCUUAUCUUAAAAAGUUUUUGAAGCUGCGGAAGAAGCGAAGUUAUAGAUGGCUUCUGAAAAUUCGCUGGUAUACAUUGGUGGUGCAGACAAGUUCCUAUAGUUGUUUAGCAAAUGAGUAAGUAAUAAUUUUUUGAGUCUCAGCAUUUAUUCGUUAUGCAAUUUUGAAUUCUUUUUAGUUUUUUUCUUUUGCAGAGGAGUCGUUGUUACCACGUAACGAGUUUUUUGAGUCUCAGCAUUUAAUUUUCUGUAAUCUUAUUCUCCUCUUCUUCUCUAUCGUUCCAUUUUCUUUGUCGUUUUAUUUUGAGUAUAGCAAAGAUCUUUAUUCUAACAACUUCUUCUCUUAUUCUGAAAAUAAUUCUAUAUCAUUCCUUCUGCAUGAGUCAAGUUGAAGGUUUUCUCAGAUUACACUUCUAUUUUAUAACUUUAUUGUUCACAGCAUAAUAGAAAAUCUGGGCUUUUUUCGUAAAGUACUAUUAUCGGAGACAUGAAGUUAUUCUUAAUAUUAAAAGGUAUAUUCUUGUGGAAAAAGGUAAACACAUUUUUAUUUAUAAUUAUGAAAUCCAAAGCUUUUUGAAAAAUCUUUUGUGGUAAAACAUGAUAAAAAAAAAACUUGAAAGGGAAAUAGAAAAAAUCAGCGUGCUAUUGAUUUCUAUUUACUAACUAUUUUAUGUAUAUAUUAUUUAAAGUUUAUUAACUUUUCCAAUCAAGC
rnacentral:lncRNA from 1 species